GUUUAAUUCGACGAUACGCGAAGAACCUUACCUGGCCUUGACAUAGAAAGAACUUUCCAGAGACGGAUUGGUGCUAGUUUACUAGAGCUUUCAUACAGGUGCUGCACGGCUGUCGUCAGCUCGUGUCGUGAGAUGUUGGGUUAAGUCCCGCAACGAGCGCAACCCUCGUGUUUAGUUACUAACAGUUCGGCUGAGGACUCUAAACAGACUGCCUGGGUAACCAGGAGGAAGGUGAGGACGACGUCAAGUCAUCAUGGCCCUUACGGCCAGGGCUACACACGUGCUACAAUGGGGUAUACAAAGAGCUGCAAUACGGUGACGUGGAGCAAAUCUCAUAAAAUAUCUCCCAGUUCGGAUUGAAGUCUGCAACUCGACUUCAUGAAGUUGGAAUCGCUAGUAAUCGUAGAUCAGCAAUGCUACGGUGAAUACGUUCCCGGGUCUUGUACUCACCGCCCGUCACACCAUGGGAAUUGAAUUCAUUCGAAGCGGGGAUGCUAAAAUAGCUACCUUCCACAGUGGAUUUAGUAACUAGGGUGAAGUCGUAACAAGGUA
rnacentral:rRNA from 1 species